GUCCAGAUGAUGCUUACAGGGACACUGCAUAGCGGGGCAUUUAAUGACCAUAGCGGUGCAUUUAAUGAGUCUAUUACUACAGUGCCACCAAGCACAGAGGGACACCAGAUAGGAAAUCAACAUACGCAAAGGGGUAUGUCGUCGGGUAUAAAGAGCCACAUCCUCAUAGCCGUCAUGCAGUUUAAAGGGACUACAAACCCACUUCCUAUCAUGCUCGUAAUGCUCUUUGAAAGCAUCAGGCAACCCAGCAAUGCAGAGAUAAACAACCCUCCAAACUACUCACAGUACCUCCAUCUUUCCCUCCCACCUUUGGCCCCAACAUUGCUUCUCACCUGUAGGCUGCUCCUCCAUCUGCAAGGUGUCCUCAAAUCUCAAGUACUCCAUCUCCUGCUUGCAGUUCUGGGACCACAAUACUUUGGCCACUCCACAAGCCAACACUCUGACGGCUGUCACCCGGGUCACUUCGGCCACCUCCACCAGGACCUUGCCGGUUACCUUCUCCCCGCCGCAGUACACCUUCUGCGGGUCGGCGAAGGACACUUCGAAGCACUUGACUUUCUUGAAGACAACCAUGAUGACAAUGAGUUCUAUUCCAAUGGGCAACUAAGAAGCCUGAGAAGACAGUUGGGCUGCAGGGGGCAACCUGUUUGGCAAUGAGGAGUCCAAUGGAAUUGCAAGCAAUGAAGAAUAGUCCUUAGGUUUUUGAAACCACGAAUAACUUCAUUUCCAUGAAUGGCAGUCAUCUAUCAAAAGAUCCAAAUGGAAAAGGCAUGAAUGAAAAAAGACCCAGAAAAAAACCUCCAAAGCUGCGAAUUAAUUAAAAUUAAAUCGUCGAACAAAAA